UACGUAGGGGGCAAGCGUUGUCCGGAAUCAUUGGGCGUAAAGAGCGUGUAGGCGGUUCAGUAAGUCUGCUGUGAAAGUCCAAGGCUCAACCUUGGGAUGCCGGUGGAUACUGCUGAGCUAGAGUACGGAAGAGGCGAGUGGAAUUCCCGGUGUAGCGGUGAAAUGCGCAGAUAUCAGGAGGAACACCGGUGGCGAAGGCGGGUCUCUGGGCCGAAACUGACGCUGAGGGAGCGAAAGCGUGGGGAGCAAACAGG
rnacentral:rRNA from 1 species